rnacentral:misc_RNA from 1 species
AUACCGUCCCCUACCCUCCUCUGCUGCCGCGAACGCUCUUUUCGCCCCCAUCUCCCUAUACAGACACGCACGUCAACACGUUCACACGUGCGCGUGUAGGCACGCCGUUCCGACAAGCUGCACGUUUUUGCUAGUAUCACUCACGACUUCUUCCUUCCUCCCUUCGGUGACCUCUCUCGCCCGCCGUCGGAGCAGACGUCGAAAAGGAUAAAAGAAAAAUAAGCAAGCGCCUCAUCCUUUCUCCGUCUUCUCCGUCCACCUCUCGCGCUCACCAUGAAUCGCCGGCUUAGUGUUGUGCUGGCGCUCGCGCUCGUGGUCUUCGUGCUCGCGGGGUCGUGCAGCAGCGAAGACCCGGGUGCUGUGAUGCCGGGUAUCGUGCAGAUGAGUAAGGACAACUUCGACCAGCUCGUGGGCAAGGACAAGGCGGCAUUGGUGGAGUUUUACGCGCCGUGGUGUGGCCACUGCAAGAGCAUGGCCCCCGAGUACGCGGCUCUGGGCGCGGCCUACGAAGCGAGCACGAACGCUAAGGACCUGCUGUUAAUUGGCAAGGUGGACGCCACAGAGGACAGCGACCUCGGCAAGCGCUUCGGCGUCACGGGGUUCCCGACAAUUCUGUACUUCGCUUCUGGCUCAUUGGAGCCGGAGAAGUACAAGGGCGGCCGCACGGCCGAGGACUUUGCCAAGUACCUCUCGAGUGCGGUGGCGGGCCUGAGGCUGACCAUCCCGAAUGAGCCACAGUUUGCGAUGGAGCUGGUGCACACGAAUUUUGAUGCAGUCGUCAAGGACCCGUCGAAGGCGGUGCUCGUUAUGUUCUACGCCCCGUGGUGCGGCCACUGCAAGGCGCUGAAGCCGAUUUACAACAAGCUUGCCAAGGUGUUCUCAAACGAUAAGGAUGUUGUGAUCGCCCGCAUCAACGCUGACGAUGCCGCCAACCGGAAAAUUGCAACCGAGUACGCUGUUUCCGGCUUUCCGACGCUGUACUUCUUUCCCAAAGGCGCCGAUGAGAAGCCGGUCGAGUACAAGAAUGGCCGCAACCUGGAGGACUUCCUCACCUUCGUGAACGAGAACGCCGGCAAGCACCGCCUCGCUAACGGAGACCUCUCAUGGGAGUACGGCGUCAUCGCAGAGCUCGCGGAGGCGGUCGCGCGUGUGGCGACGAGCUCCGGCGAGAGCUCCAAGGCAGCAGUAGAGGCGGUGAAGGCGGUCGCUUCCACGCUGACUGAGAGCGAGGACGCCGCGUACUACAUCAAGGCAGCGGAACGCAUUGCGGCGAAGGGCCCCGCGUACGUGGAGAGUGAAUCGGCUCGCCUCAAGCGCACCCUCGGAGGCCCUGUGGCGGGCGAUCGCCGUGAUAACAUGGUGAUGCGCCUGAAUAUUCUGACCUCGAUCCAGAAGCACAUGAAGUAGACCAAGCAGAAGUGGUGAAUGGCCGCCAACGUGGGCUGGGAGAGAGGGAGUGAGAGUGCGGGUGGGCGCCGCUAGACCUGAAAAAUUUGUGUGUGUGUGUGAGCGUGUUUGUGUUCACCUGUGCGUACAGGCGCCUGUGCCUUUCCCUCCUUUUGUCUUUUUUGGCCCUCCUCUUGUCUCUCUCUCUAGCUCGCUGGGCGGGUCGGCGCUCAUGUACGACGCCACAACCAAAACACCACCGUCGCCGUUUCUCGGUUCACCGCUGCUCCGCCUUCCCACUUCUAGCGGUGCUGCAUUCUCGCUCUUCUCUUUAUUCGCCUCUCUUCAUCAUAUGGGCUUGCAUCAACGGUUCAGACUCUCUUCCACGCGUGUUUGCGUGUGCUAGGAGGAAUAACAGACGCAGUGAUGCUGACGGAUGAUGAGGACGGAGUUAGCGGGGCCGAAUACGUGACACUCUUUCGCCAUUCUCAUUUUCCCUCUAUUUGCACUUAUGUGCUGUGCGCGUGUGUGUGUGUGUCGCGGGGGUGGGGGUGGGGUAG